CAGCACAUCAAAAUUUAAGACUUCUUAUGUGCUAUAGAAAUAGUUGAAGGUUAAUUAGCAGAGUAACUGAAUAUAGUAAUUCUGCCAGUCUCCUUCAGACAAAA